GUCUCCAUGGUCUAGUGGUUAUGACGUCGGUCUCAUACAAUCCGGAAAGCUGAGUUCGAUUCUCAGUGGGGACA
rnacentral:tRNA from 1 species